GCGGAGGAAAAGAAACCAACAGGGAUUGCCUUAGUAACGGCGAGUGAAGCGGCAACAGCUCAAAUUUGAAAGCUGGCUCCUUUGGAGUCCGCGUUGUAAUUUGUAGAGGAUGAUUCGGCAAGGGCUCCCGCCUAAGUCUCCUGGAACGGAGCGUCAUAGAGGGUGAGAAUCCCGUAUGCGGUGGGCUGCCUAAGCCAUGUGAAUCUCCUUCGACGAGUCGAGUUGUUUGGGAAUGCAGCUCUAAAUGGGAGGUAAAUUUCUUCUAAAGCUAAAUACCGGCCAGAGACCGAUAGCGCACAAGUAGAGUGAUCGAAAGAUGAAAAGCACUUUGGAAAGAGAGUUAAAAAGUACGUGAAAUUGUUGAAAGGGAAGCGCUUGCAGCCAGACUUGUCCGCAGUUGCUCAGCCGGUCUCCUGACCGGUGUACUCUUCUGCGGCCAGGCCAGCAUCAGUUCGGGCGGUCGGAUAAAGACCUCGGGAAUGUAGCUCCUCUCGGGGAGUGUUAUAGCCCGGGGUGGAAUGCGGCCAGCCUGGACUGAGGAUCUCGCUUCGGCUAGGAUGCUGGCGUAAUGGCUGUAAGCGGCCCGUCUUGAAACACGGACCAAGGAGUCUAACAUCUAUGCGAGUGUUUGGGUGUCAAACCCAUGCGCGUAAUGAAAGUGAACGGAGGUGGGAACCCUCACGGGUGCACCAUCGACCGAUCCUGAUGUCUUCGGAUGGAUUUGAGUAAGAGCAUAGCUGUUGGGACCCGAAAGAUGGUGAACUAUGCCUGAAUAGGGUGAAGCCAGAGGAAACUCUGGUGGAGGCUCGCAGCGGUUCUGACGUGCAAAUCGAUCGUCAAAUU
rnacentral:sRNA from 1 species